UUUCCCUCAAUCAUCGGGAUGAGACCAUUAAUCUUGAAGUUGUUGUUCUGGAUAGCAGGAGGCGCAAUCCUUUCCUCUGACGGUGGUCCUGUGGUGCAUCUCCAGCACCAAUGUUAGCAGGGCCAUUAUGUUGAUUUUGUUUGUCAGCGUCUUCGAGUGGUUGCUGGGUAAAAGGUUGACUAUGUUUCUCCUUUCUCUGAUUUCGCGAGCGAUGCGGUCGAUGUUAUCGUUGAAAAGGAGGUUCUGGUUGCCUGUUGAUCAAGUUUACAUACAGAAGAGGUGUACCGGAUCAAGAAGACAACAAGAAAAACACACAGUUAGUAACCGAAAUGAAAAUUGAAAAAGAACUUGAUCUAAGCAAGUCUGAAAUCUCAAAUGAACAAACCAACACCCAAUUGGCAACGACGCCAAAUUGAUAAUAGGUUUUUAGUCUAUUAUCCUAAAACACCAAUCAUGUCGUUGUAGUAUUUUAGGUUGUCAAUCCAAAUGGGUGUGAUGCUAGCAAUCAAGAUGUAAUCAGAGUUCAAAGAGUCAAGCCAAACAAUAACAGGUUUUGGGGUGUUCUAGCAGUCCUAAGUGAACAUGCGGGAAACAGAAAAUUAAGCAGAAUAGAAAAGCACUCUACCAACACAGCUUGUUGCCAACCACUGGGUGUGGUCGAGUGAUAGGGCGAGUAACAGACAGAAAAUGUAACAAGGAUACUCGACUGCACAGUCUGUUUCCAGACAACUGGGUGGUCGAGUAUUAGGUCGAGUAACAGGCAAAAAUAGCAAAAACUAAGCAACAGGAAACACAAUGCAGUAAACAAUAGAGAGUAAACAAAGAAAUCAAUUAGAUGAGAAAUUACCAAGGAUGGAGUAAUUAAGUAGUUUUGUUUCCUCAGUUUAUAAGUGAUUGACAUGCUCAAUAAAUUAUCCCUAGACAACAAGUUCGAUAACCAAAUCUAAGUGCCACCGCAACAUAGGCCCUCAAGUUAAACAAGUCCCAGACUCAAUCACCAUUGACGAGAGCUAACCUAACAGGCAUUACGAAUCAACAAGUUAAAGCCAAAACGCUCGCUGCAACCAAUACGUUGGUACAAAGCCAUGAAUCUCUGGAAUUAGUGGUUCAGACAUUUCAUUGAACACCUUUUGGGCGUGGAAAUGUCUGAACUUAAAUUUCAGUUGAUCAGAAAGCAAUAGGCAUUAAGAACAACUAAUCCAGAAGGGAUCUAUAAAUCAAACUCAACCACCUAGCAUACUGAGAAUUUUAAACUACUCUAACCAUCCUCACAAACCUAGUCACUACUCAGGCAUCAUUGCAGAGAACAUAAACGAUGAAAAGAAUAAAAACAUGAUAGCAACAGAGUAAUUGCAGGAUGAUAACAGGAUGAACAACUUAGUAAAUA
rnacentral:sRNA from 1 species